AGAUUGAACGCUGGCGGCAUGCCUUACACAUGCAAGUCGAACGGUAGAGUAGCAAUACUCGAGAGUGGCGAACGGGUGAGUAAUAUAUCGGAACGUGCCCAGUCGUGGGGGAUAACGUAGAGAAAUUUACGCUAAUACCGCAUACGAUCUAAGGAUGAAAGCGGGGGAUCGCAAGACCUCGCGCGAUUGGAGCGGCUGAUAUCAGAUUAGGUUGUUGGUGAGGUAAAAGCUCACCAAGCCGACGAUCUGUAGCUGGUUUGAGAGAACGACCAGCCACACUGGGACUGAGACACGGCCCAGACUCCACGGGAGCAGCAGUGGGGAAUUUUGGACAAGUGGGACGAAGCCUGAUCCAGCAAUGCCGCGUGCAAGGAAGAAGGCCGUUCGGUUAGUAAACUGUACUUUUAGAACGGUAACGAAAGCCGUAUUUACUAAUAAA
rnacentral:rRNA from 1 species